rnacentral:lncRNA from 1 species
CCAGUGUGUUACAACAACAACCUAUUCAAAAUUAAAAUUCGAAUUUCGAAUCCCUCAAAAUAUCUCUCACCACCCUCCCAUUAUAAAUACGAGAACCAAAAUCAAACCCGGGGAGAAUUUUUUUACGGAGACGAUACGAUAGACAAAGAACAAAACAAAAAAGAUAGAUUGCUACACUCGUUCCGACAUACAAAAAUUCAAAAAAAAGGAGAUAUCGCCGAGCCGCGGAAAGGAGGGGGAACGCCGAGCCGCGGAAAGUAGGAGAAAUCGCCGAGCCGCGAAAAGAAGGAGAGAUAGCCGAGCCGCGGAAAGGUGGAAGAAUCGUCGAGCUGAUU